AUUGAACGCUGGCGGCAGGCCUAACACAUGCAAGUCGAGCGGAUGAAGGGAGCUUGCUCCUGGAUUCAGCGGCGGACGGGUGAGUAAUGCCUAGGAAUCUGCCUGGUAGUGGGGGAUAACGUCCGGAAACGGGCGCUAAUACCGCAUACGUCCUGAGGGUGAAAGUGGGGGAUCUUCGGACCUCACGCUAUCAGAUGAGCCUAGGUCGGAUUAGCUAGUUGGUGGGGUAAAGGCCUACCAAGGCGACGAUCCGUAACUGGUCUGAGAGGAUGAUCAGUCACACUGGAACUGAGACACGGUCCAGACUCCUACGGGAGGCAGCAGUGGGGAAUAUUGGACAAUGGGCGAAAGCCUGAUCCAGCCAUGCCGCGUGUGUGAAGAAGGUCUUCGGAUUGUAAAGCACUUUAAGUUGGGAGGAAGGGCAGUAAGUUAAUACCUGGCUGUUUUGACGUUACCAACAGAAUAAGCACCGGCUAACUUCGUG
rnacentral:rRNA from 1 species